AAAUAUUCAAUGAAACAAAGAGUAAAUUAUCUACUGGUAUAGCGAGGGGCGUUGGUGUGAGGCCUUACAGAAUGGAUGAUUGAACCGCAUUGUUGAGAAAAAUGACUGAACCUUUGUUAGUAAGUCAUUUCGCUAAUGACGUUACCAUUUCAAGUAAGGGGAGGUGAAGGCCAUCCCUAAAAUUAGAGUGGUACCGUGGAUCUCCGCCUCUGUU
rnacentral:ncRNA from 1 species